rnacentral:misc_RNA from 1 species
UAAGGAUCGACUGAUGUUUGUCUUGGAGUGUUCAUGGCAUCUGUCUCGUUGCCUCCUUCCCUCUCAGAAUUUCGAUGAAGAAGGUCGGCAUGGACCUCGUUGACAUGUAGUUCAAAAUCAGACUUCUUGAGGAAGGACUUGAGGCAGUGAGGGGCAGCACAGAGAAAGAUACCCUCCAACAAUUUAAUUGUCUGAAUCUUCUG